rnacentral:rRNA from 1 species
GACGAAGGGGGCUAGCGUUGUUCGGAAUUAUUGGGCGUAAAGCGCACGUAGGCGGCUUUGCAAGUCGGAUGUGAAAUCCCUCGGCUUAACCAAGGAAGUGCAUCCGAAACUGCAGAGCUUGAGUACUUAAGAGGAUCGCGGAAUUCCCGGUGUAGAGGUGAAAUUCGUAGAUAUCGGGAGGAACACCAGUGGCGAAGGCGGCGAUCUGGGAAGAUACUGACGCUGAGGUGCGAAAGCGUGGGGAGCAAACAGG